rnacentral:misc_RNA from 1 species
UGCUUUUUAAAGUUAUGAGUUCAUCACUGCACCGAUUGUGGGGAGGGGUGUCCAUGAUGCAUCCCCACACCCUUUUAGUGCAUUGACGCUUUACAACAAUUUUUGGUGCCUUGUCAAUGUAUAAGGGGCAAGACGAGAAAAGGGGUGUGAAUGGGGCUGUGCUUUUUCAUUUCAAAACAAUUCUGAGAUGAGCACUCAUGAUUUUCUCCACAGGCACUCAUGCCCUGCCCU